GUAGUAACUUUUUCAGAGCAGAGAGAUGACAUUUUAUUCUUGCUUUUCCCACAAGGAUGCAUAUUUUUAAGCUUCCUCUUCUUCUUUAACUCCUCCCUCUCCCAGUUUUGAUUAAGCAGGAACACCCCAAGGGCUAGAGGAAAGGAUGAGGCAUUUUCCAUGUUCCCAGUCAGAAUGGAAAAUGUUUAUGCAAUCUUUUUGCAAUGCAUGGCAAAAUUCUCCUUGUCUUUAUGGAAAAGAACUCGGAACUGCGUCUAUGACCUCAGUACAAGAAUCUUUUUUCAUUCCUAUGCUGUGUCACCAGGCAACAAUUCCAAUAUGAUGUUGAUGAUGCUGAUUUUCACCCCCCAAGGAAGUCCUGCAGAACAACAGCAGCUGGAGCUGUGCACUGGAUAAUGUCUUUCCAAAAGCUCUUCAACAAGAGUGCACACAGAAUUGGAGAGAGCAGUGUUAAUUGCCCUGCUUCUGAUAAAUAUGCCUCCUCUCAAGUA